rnacentral:lncRNA from 1 species
UUUUGUCUUUCCUCUUCCAUGGAGAACAGUAAAGAAGGGCAUCUAGGCCCAGUAAAUGCAAUGAAUCACAAUUGUCUGGCUGAUGCAGACUGUGCAUGAAAGACAAAUGGACCCUGGUGGUAUUCAAGGCGACUCUUAAAAAGAGCCAGGCAUUCACAACCCUGAAAACCUCAUAAUUAAAGUUGAAUGUGUAAACUGAAAUGAGCAUGUGAGAAGAACAACAGAUUAUUUUUCAGAUCUCUGUUCUCAGUGUAUAGGUGGGUGGUGUUCAGUUAAAUAGGUAGCACUGCCAACAUCUCAACAACUCCCCCAAAGUUCUCUUUUUGUGUUGGCUUUUGCCUUCUAUCAGACUUAAUGUUGUUGCUGGGAAAAAAAUAAAUCAUAGUUCAUUUAGUGUGUACUGGCCAUUCCUUAUUAAACUGGCAAUGGAGAAUCAGGC